AGCAGCCGCGGUAAUUCCAGCUCCAAUAGCGUAUAUUAAAGUUGUUGCAGUUAAAAAGCUCGUAGUUGAAUUUCGGGGUCAGUAGGUUGGUCGUGCCACCGGUACGUACUGGUCUCACUGAUUCCUCCUUCCUGAAGAACCGUAAUGCCAUUAAUUUGGUGUUGCGGGGAAACAGGACUGUUACUUUGAAAAAUUAGAGUGUUUAAAGCAGGCUAACGCUUGAAUACAUUAGCAUGGAAUAAUGAAAUAGGACGAUCGAUCCUAUUUUGUUGGUUUCUAGGAUUGACGUAAUGAUUAAUAGGGAUAGUUGGGGGCAUUAGUACUCAAUUGUCAGAGGUGAAAUUCUUGGAUUUAUUGAAGACUAACUACUGCGAAAGCAUUUGCCAAGGAUGUUUCAUUAAUCAAGAACGAAAGUUAGGGGAUCGAAGACGAUCAGAUACCGUCGUAGUCUUAACCAUAAACUAUGCCGACUAGGAUCGGAUGAUGUUUAAUUUUAUUAAUGACUCAUUCGGUCGCCCGU
rnacentral:rRNA from 1 species